AUCGCUUCUCGGCCUUUUGGCUAAGAUCAAGUAUAGAAAGCAAGGACUGAAUUCCAUUCUUUCUUUUUGGCCACCCCCCUCUUUUUUUUGCAAAAAGAGCAUAGGUUUUGUUUAUGUAUUAUGCAUUAAUGUUUUUUUUAUGGCUGGCAGACCUGUA
rnacentral:sRNA from 1 species